GAGUAAAUGCUCAAGACUUUUUGUACCUCAAACAAUCAAGGGAUCUGGUAGUUGAGCUCUUAAAGCACUAUGAAGCCAAGGGGAGAAAGGAGGGUUUGGAGGAGAAGUUGGUGAAAGCUCGAAGUCCUCUGUUGUCCCACACCUUGUGACAUGACUUCUAAGGGGCCGUCAACACCAUUGGUCGGUAAGGGCAGUCAUCGCCGGGGAUUUGGCCGGA